rnacentral:misc_RNA from 1 species
GUUCAUACUGGCAGUGAAUCGAGUUCCAUUUGGACCUUGACAGUUUCUAGAGCGUGCACCUCUUGGACAAUUGUUGAGUCCUAGCCCAACAGUGAAGAAUAGAUUUUCAUCGAUUUCUUUGGGUACCUCGACUCUUCUUGGGCUUCUAAAUUUUGUUGUGAAGGCUGUUGCAGUGGCUGUGUCAUUAUAUGCUGGUAGAGAUGGGAAA